AUGAAUGGCCUUCAUCCUACCCACCCCCAAUCAGCCUGUGAUGCCCCUCGAUCCAGAGGGAGUUUCUUAGGAAAAAACAAGCACGGAGCCAAAGCAAAAUGCAGCUUCUGGAAAUCAAAACGAGGACUUGGCCGCCGACAAUCCCUUGCAAUCCUGGGCAAUUUUCUUAAAAGAUGCAACUCUCCGUCUCCAACUACUAUGACUUCUCCAUCUCCUUGCUUCCCGGCUAUGUUGAGGAAGACAUUCCACCCGUCCCAGUCUGAGCCCCUGGAAGGCAGACUCCCCAACCAGGCCAGGCAGCCGGAAGACAUGCUGGAAAUUAAUCAGAGAAAAUAAACAGGAGAAGAGGAAGUGUCCAACGCAAACUAAUCCCUUUUCUUUAAUUACUUGGGAACACACUUGGGUCUUUCCCUGGCGGCACAGGCAAAACAAACCAAUUUCACUGAGCCAACGUACCUCUAGUUCAGCAGUUCUCAGAGUGUGGUCCUUGGGCCAGUGGCAGCAAGGUACUCAUUAAAAUGAGUCAUCCAGGUACUCAUUAAAAUGGCAGCAUCCGGGUCCUCAUUAAAAUGCAAGUCUUCAGGCUCCACUCCAGACCUAAGGAAGCAGAAACUCUGGGAAGGAAACCUGGCAACCUGUAGUUUAACCAGCCCUGCAGGUGAUGCUGUCACUACUGCUCUUGGCCGUGACCCGGACCGUAGCACAGUACCCGUUGUCAACUCAUGGCCCUCCAUUUUAGUCGCAAGCAAAACACUGUCGGAGGUGUAUUUGGAAUUCUAAUCUUGCAAAACUGAAAGCACAGAGCAAUGAGAGUAAAACUCACUCUUCCGGUUGGACUCACGGGGAAAACUUGAAACUCAAGCCUUUUCGCGUAGGAAGCUUCCAGCACUCACGAACUAUCGCCUGUUUGUUUUCUUUGGCACUAAUUAGCUAAUUCUCUGCGCCAGGUCAAGAUGACCAUCGGUAAUGAACACGGAGUCAUAAAAUAUCUGAUGUGAAGGGAUCUCAUGGGUCAUCAACUCCAUCUACCCAUUUUAUAAAUUGGAAAACUGAGGUCCGGGAAGAAUAAAUGGGGCGUCCAAAGCCCCA
rnacentral:lncRNA from 1 species